CGGUAGCUGCCCAGUGCGUGUAGGUAUCGACAUUCCCUGGGGCUAUAAGACUUUCUCGGGAGCUGUCCCUGUCGGACCCGUGGGUUCGGUAUAUGGCGCCCACCUGCACCAGCAGGCCACAGAGGAUUGCAACAGCCCACGGUUGGUGCGGCGCCGUC
rnacentral:other from 1 species